rnacentral:rRNA from 1 species
AGAGUUUGAUCCUGGCUCAGGACGAACGCUGGCGGCGUGCUUAACACAUGCAAGUCGAACGGAGAUAAUAGCAAUAUUAUCUUAGUGGCGGACGGGUGAGUAACGCGUGGGCAACCUGCCUUCAACAGGGGGAUAACACAGGGAAACUUGUGCUAAUACCGCAUGACAUACCGGGAGGACAUCCUUCUGGUAUCAAAGGA